AUUGAACGCUGGCGGCAUGCUUUACACAUGCAAGUCGAGCGGCAGCGCGGGGUUCGGGCAACUGAGCUCUGGCGGCGAGCGGCGGACGGGUGAGUAAUGCAUCGGAACGUAUCCUGUAGUGGGGACGAACCCACGCGAAAGACUGGGCGUAAUAACCGCAUACGCUCUCAGGGGGAAAGGUAGGGCGUCGCAAGGGCCUCACGCUAGAGGAGCGGCCGAUGCCGAUUAGCUGGUUGGUGAGGUAAAGGACUUACCAAGGCGACGAUCGGUAGCUGGUCUGAGAGGAUGAUCAGCCACACUGGGACUGAGACACGGCCCAGACCU
rnacentral:rRNA from 1 species